AUCCAGCUGACGAGUUCCAAACAGAACGAAGCGCACGUCAUGGAU
rnacentral:hammerhead_ribozyme from 1 species